rnacentral:rRNA from 1 species
CUGGUUGAUCCUGCCAGUAGCAUAUGCUUGUCUCUGAGACUAAGCCAUGCAUGUCUAAGUAUAAACAAAUUUGUACUGUGAAACUGCGGACGGCUCAUUAAAUCAGUUAUAAUCUACUUGAUCGUAUAUUCAAUGGAUUAAUCGGGUAACCCUAGUAAUUCUAGAGCUAAUACGUGCAAAAAACUCCGACUUUUCUUCGGGAGAGAAAGAGUGUAUUUAUUAGGUAAAAAACCACUCAGCCCUUUCGGGGGUUGUUUCUUGAUGAUUCAUAAUAACUUAGCAAAUCGCAGAUCAUUCUGCGAUGAUACAAACGAGUUUCUGACCUAUCAACUUUAGAUGGCAAAGUAGGGGUUUGCCAUGGUGACAACGGGUGACGGGGAAUUAGGGUUCGAUUCCGGAGAGGGAGCCUGAGAAACGGCUACCACUUCCAAGGAAGGCAGCAGGCGCGCAAAUUACCCAAUACUGAUUCGGUGAGGUAGUGACAAGAAAUACCAAUGUAGGACCCAACGGGUACUACGUUUGGAAUGAGUACAAUUUAAAAACCUUAACGAGGAACAAUUGGAGGGCAAGUCUGGU